GCUGCUUCUGUUGCUGUACAAAAAAAAAGUAUCUUCUCCUGAUAGCAAUGAUACAAGAUGUGACUGAAAUAUUCACAACAUGAGCUUAUUGUUCAAUUGCAAACAACAUCAGAGUAGAAGCCUAUUGUCCUACGUUUGCAGUCUUGGACGUCUAGCAAUUCCACAUCAAAUACUUCGAACUGUUUUGAGCUAAAGAAUGUUGAAGGCCCAACCGGAGGUCCUAAUUCUGGAGGUAUGAUUAUCCUCCUUUUGCCCCCAGGUCUCAUGUCUCUAAUUCCUUCCUCAAAACCUGGGACCAAUGCU
rnacentral:misc_RNA from 1 species